UCAAAAUAGAAUCACAAAAAAGGGCAGCCCAUUCCUUACCUUAUUGGUUUGGAGUUUUAUUUUUUAUGAGACCCUAAUCCACAAUCAGGAAAUAGGCUUUGGCUGUUGACAGGAAUCCUGUGUUUGUGAGAUCAAUAGGCACCGGUGGGCAGAUACUUAAUUAAAUGAAUCUCUUGUGGCUCCACCCAUUUGUAGGUUGACAGCAAUUUGUGUUGGUGAAGCUUCCUACAUAGCAGACUAACAGAAGACACUACAAUACAGCAUGGCAGCAUUUGUCUCGUUGGCUACAUGUCACCACUGCAGUGUAUCUUCCAGACAUGGCCUCAUCUACAGGGACUCCAUGGCAGCUCUAUCCAGGAAUGUCAUGGUUCCAAGUUAUACCAGGAGACAUUUUUCCCUGGUUAGAACAAUGCCACUGCGAUCUAGGGGAAGACUCAUGUCCCAGAAGAUUGCUGGAGAGGCCAAGCCUCGUCAAGCCUCCCCACGCCGCGCUCCAAGGACAAAUCCCACGGAUUUCGAUUCCAUAUCUACCUCCAAGCCUGCUAGCGUGAAACAUUUUGUACAUGUGCAGUUAAGGAAGCUGUUUUCCCUGAAUGACACCCAAAGGCACAGAAAGAGUAGCAUAAAGCUGAAAUCCUGAAGUAUUGCACAUUUAUUGGGUGAUCCACAAGGUGGCACUCUGAUGCUUCAGUUGGGAAAACAUGAUGGAGUCUGCUGGAAGGGUGCCUACCAGUCAACACCAUGACAUGGUUAUACUUUGAUUGCUCUAACCUGAGCAGGAUUAAGUAUGCUGCCUUGCAGUUAUUCCCCAACUUAGUCAUAUAUCGUUGCUAGGGGUUCCUGUGAGGACAAGCAAGUUUGUGAGUGAGACGAUUCAGGUCUUUUCUCGAUCGCCAACAUAGUGUUGAACAGAAAGUAUGGCAAAAUAAUUGAGCCUGUAGAUUCUAAUCAUAUCGUGGCUUCCAGUACAGGUUAAGCAGUAGCUAUUGCAUAUCAUGUGUAACAGUGAAUUGUACUGGAACAAAGUGUGUGCUUAACAAUGACUGUUUAAUUAUUGCUGUGAACGGUCAAAUACAAUGUUAUAAGCAUGUACAGUCGGAUAAUUUACUUGUUUGUUUAGAAAUAAUGAUCAAAUCAGUAUUGUAUAGAGCAACACUGUGUAAUAAAAGCUUACUAACUAUAU